rnacentral:rRNA from 1 species
CUUACCUGGGAGAGGUCGUUGGAAACUGCACGGCUUGAGGCAGAGAGAGGAAGACGGAAUUCCCGGUGGAGUGGUGGAAUGCGUAGAGAUCGGGAAGAACACCAGUGGCGCAGGCGGUCUUCUGGCUCUGUUCUGACGCUGAGGUGCGAAAGCGUGGGGAGCGAACGGGAUUAGAUACCCCGGUAGUCCACGCUGUAAACGCUGUGAACUAGGUGUGAGUCGGAUUGACCCGGUCCGUGCCGCAGCCAACGCGCUAAGUUCACCGCCUGGGGAGUACGGCCGCAAGGCUAAAACUCAAAGGAGUUGACGGGGGCCCGCACAAGCAGCGGAGCGUGUGGUUUAAUUCGAUGCAACGCGAAGAACCUUACCUGGGCUUGACAUGGCCGUCGUAGUGAACCGAAAGGGGAACGAGCCUUCGGGCAGCG